rnacentral:rRNA from 1 species
CCUACGGGAGGCAGCAGUGGGGAAUAUUGGACAAUGGGGGGAACCCUGAUCCAGCCAUGCCGCGUGUGUGAAGAAGGCCCUCGGGUUGUAAAGCACUUUCAGUGAGGAAGAACGCCUGGUGGUUAAUACCCAUCAGGAAAGACAUCACUCACAGAAGAAGCACCGGCUAACUCCGUGCCAGCAGCCGCGGUAAUACGGAGGGUGCGAGCGUUAAUCGGAAUUACUGGGCGUAAAGCGCGCGUAGGUGGCUUGAUAAGCCGGUUGUGAAAGCCCCGGGCUCAACCUGGGAACGGCAUCCGGAACUGUCAAGCUAGAGUGCAGGAGAGGAAGGUAGAAUUCCCGGUGUAGCGGUGAAAUGCGGAGAGAUCGGGAGGAAUACCAGUGGCGAAGGCGGCCUUCUGGACUGACACUGACACUGAGGUGCGAAAGCGUGGGUAGCAAACAGGAUUAGAUACCCCUGUAGUC